UUGGACUCCUGGGCUCAAGCUAUCCUCCCAUAUCGGUCUCCAGUGGCUGAACCAAUUUACAUCCCCAGCAAGAGCGUACAAGGGUUCCAGUUUCUCCACAUCACUGCCAACACUUGUUACGUCUUGUUUUGUUUCAUAAUGCCUCUCCUAAUGAGUGGUAAGUGAUAUCAUAUUUUGGCUUUUAUUUGUAUCUCUCUGAUCAUUAGUGAUGUUGAACAUCUUUUCAUAUACCUUUUGGCUAUUUGUAUGUCUUUGAAGAAAAUUUAUUCAAUCUUUUUGCCCCCCUUUUUAAGUUAUCUUUUUCUGUUGUUGUAGGAGUUCCUUACAUAUGUAAUGAGGUUUUUUUGAAUAAAUGAAUAUAAGUUUAAUAUAGUAAAGACAUUAACACAAUUUUUAUUUUAUGUUUAAUACAUUUUGUGCUCUAGAAAAAAAAUCAUUAUUUAUCUCACCCAAGAUCAUUAUGAUGUUCCUCAAAGUAUUCUUCUAGAAGCUUUAGCAUUCAUAUUUAGGUCUGUGAUCCAUCUUACAUUGAAUUUUGUGCAUGAUAUGAGUGAGAUAUUAAGAUUAAUGAAAAUGCUAAUUAUAAUAGAUUCUCAGGUCCUAGCCAAAGCUUUUGUAUAUUGGGAUCUCUUGAGAUCUAGGUUAUUUAAAGGUAAUAGACGAUCAGUAUUGAUGAAUUUGUUUUCUUUUUCUAUCUGGUGAUUCUCAACCUUUGUUCCAUAUUAGAAUCAAGUGGUUUGCUUGCUUGCUUCUUUUUGUCUUUGCUUUUAGUAGCACUGCCUCAAUCCUACCUUCAAAAAUUCUAAUUUGAUAACCUGGACAUCAGGAUUUUUGGGGAGAAGGGGACAGGGUCUCACUCUGUCACCUGGGCUAGUGUACAGUGGCAUGAUCACAGCUCAUUGCAGCCUCAAACUCCUGGGCUUGAGGGAUCCUUCUGCCUCAACCUCUCACGUAGCUUGAAUUACAGGUGUGAGCCACCAUGCCUGGUGACAUUGGGAUUUUAAUGGGUCUCUGGGUGAGUCUAAUAUAAAGCCAAGUUUGGGAAUCAUUGACAAGCUCCAAAAGCCUGGAAAAAAUGUAUACAUGAAGAUAGAGAUUAGUGUUACUCUCUCCUUGGGUGAAAACCCCUGACAAGUUUUAUUGAUUUAUUGGGAAACAACAUUGGAAGCAGUUUCUCCUCUGCCUCUUUAAUCCCUUGGCCAACGCAAUCUUGAGUUAAGCACAGUCUCACUAUUAAGUCUUGUAGGGUGAAUACAUCUUUACUUCCAGUUUUCAUCCACUUUAUCUUCAUCUCGGAGAAUUAUUGUGAAAAAAAAAGUUCUCAGUGUAUAACUCAUAUUAAGUAAAAGACAUGUAAUACAUUGUAAUAAUUCAUCAAAUAUUGCUUGUGGUGUUUUACCUACUUUACACUUGUGGAAAAUUUAAGGAAAAAUUUUAAAUAGUUCUACAUUAUUUUCAUAGAAGAAUCACAGUAAAAUAAGAACUUUGCAAGUCCACAUUUUACUACAUUGCAUUAUUUGAAAAGAAAACUAAUUUUGAAGUGUCUGAUGAUUUCAAAACACAGUUCACUAUUAUUUAAUUAGUGAAAGGAGAUGCAUGCGAGGAUUUGAAAUAGAAUUUUUAACAUUGACUUAGAUACUUUCUCUAAAUGUAUUAGACAUAAAAGUAAAUGGUAUUUAUAUAUUUGUUUGUAAGAUGCUAUAAUUUUAAAUUUAAAUGUCUAUGUAGCUUUUUCUGAAGGAAGCUGUUCUAACAUUGUGGAAGCAAUUUGGGGACAUUUCUCUUACUUGAUUGAUUCUUUUCUUAUCCAGAUGCUACCCAUUUUCAAGAUUGCACAAACUCCACUUCUAUAAGGGAACUCAGCCCACAAGGCUCUCAUGUACAUCAGUAACAUCUAUAUCUUUACUGAAUUACAUAUGCCUUGCCCUAUCAAAUGAAAUUAUGUACCACGAAGUCAGGAUCAUAUCUCAACUCUUCUGUAAACUCCACAAUGCAUAGCAUAGUGUUACUCAUGGAAAAAUCAAAUACUUGUGAUUGAAAUGGGUUAACAUUCUUCUCAUGUUAAGGAACAUACUUCUUUAAUUGUACCUGUUGUUAUGCCGGGUGUAAGACUUAUUCUUUUCUCCAGAGUUGAUAUCAAUAAUUUAAAAACAUAUAGGAAUUGGAGAUAAAUGGGGAAACAAACAAUUUAUGAAGGUCAAAACUAUGAAGUAAAUUUCAGUUCAUGGUUAUUUGGUAGAAAUACUAGGUUGGAGAGUAUGGUUCACAUUUGAGACCAAAUUAAAUAUUAUUUAAUAGAUUUCUUUCACACUUAGUUGAAGGAAAGCAUGCAGUAAAAACCUAGCUUGACCAAAAACCUGACUUGCUCUUGGCAAAAAUUGUGGUGGAGAGAGAGAGAGAUAGAGAAUGAAUAACCUCUACCCUGUGGGAGGGUCUUUCCAUUGCAAAUGACGCAAGUAGAGAAUCUGAUGAAUCCGAGCCUAGGAAAGUCAAAAAGGAAGCAGAUUGGCAUCCAGUCAUUGAAGACACUAAACCUGAACACUAAGAAGACAUGAUUAAAUAAAUGUCAGGUUCUGAACAAUUAAACUGGUUACUUCUGCUACAUUGAAGUAAGGAGUGAAUACCUUGGAGUCUAACAUAGUUUUCCAAAUAAAAAGAUAACGAGGCGGAAGAUGACAUUUUGUUUACUAAAUUUUCUAGUUCAUAUUGAAUAGUUUAAUUAGAACUUGAAAGCCAAGGUCUCAGGGAACCAUUUUUAAAGUGCUUUUCAAAGAGCUUAUAUUAAAAUAAUUAUAUGUAAAUAACAAAUAAUUAGAUAUGAGGCUCACAAAUGAAAUAUUUAUGUUCAUAUAAUAUGGCUAAUGUAUGGUAACAAUAGUAUUAAAUCUAUAGAUCUAUGAUGGGAGAAUUACUAGAAAAACAAGAGUAGGUCUCCCAAUCCAUGAGCAUGGAAUGAUUUUCCAUUUGCUUAGAUUAUUAGUUUUCAGCAUACAAUUCUUACACAUAUUUUGCUAAAUGUAUUUCCAAGGGUUUAUUUGUAUAGUAUUGUGAAUAUAAUUAUUUUCUUAAUUUUUUUAAGAGAUAGAGUCUCUUUCUCUAUCUACCAGGCUGGAGUGUAGUAGCUUGCAAUCAUAGUUCACUGCAACCUUGAACUCCUGGCUCAAGUGAUCUUCCUGCCUCAACGUCCUGAGUACCUAGGACUGAGAGGUGAAUGCCACCAUGCCUGGCUAAUUUAAAAAAAAUAAAUAAAUUCAUAGAGAAGAGGAUCUGUCUUUGUUGCCCAGGCUGGUUCUAAACUCCUAGCCUCAAGUAAGUCUCCUGACUUGGCCUCCCAAGGCACUGGGAUUACAGGCCUGAGCUAUUGAGCCCAGCCACUUCCAUUUCCUGAUGGCUUUAUUGAUGUAUUCUUCAUUGUAUUGACUAUAACUUCCAGUGCAAUAUUGGAUAGAAUUAGGGAGAGUAAACUUUAUAGACAUCUUUGGCACGUCGCCAAUUUUGAGGGGCAAAUAUCCAGUCUUUCACCAUUAGCUAUGCUGUAAAAUGUAGUGUUUUUGGUUGUUGUUGUUGUUGAUGUCCUCUAUCAGGUUGAAGAAUUUCCAUUCUAUUUUUUUUAUUAAUUCACAUUAGAUUCUGUCAAAUCCUUUUCCUGCAUCAUUGAGAUAAUCAUUUCAUUUUAGUUCAUUUUAUAACAUAGUAUAUUACAUUACAUUUUGUAUUUAAAAUACAAAAACAGUCUUGCAUUUCUGGGAUUAAUUUCACUUAGUCAUGGAGUGCAAUCAUUUUUAUAUACGGUUGAAUUUAGUUUGAUAAUAUUUUAUUGGAGAUUUUUGUGUCUAUAUCUGUGAGGUAUAUUGAUCUGUAAUUUAAUUUUUAUUUUUUUGUUUUUAAAAAUUUCUUUUUCUUUCUUUCUUUUUUCAUUUUUGCUUUUGAAUAUAGGCCUUAUAACAUGAAUUGGGAAGUUUCUCUCUUUUUCUAUUUUCUGAGUAUGUGUAUCAUUUCUUCAUUGAAUAUGCGAAAUAACUUACCAGUGAAGUCAUGUGGUCCUGUAUAUUUCCUUAUGAAAGACUUUUAAUUGCUAAUUUGACAUGUUUAUUCAGAUUUUCUAUUCAUUUUUAUUUCAGCUGUGGUAAUUUAUAUAUUUUUAAGACUUUCUACCUUAAAUAUAAGUUGUAUAAUUUGUGGUCACAAAGUGUUUCAUAGUAUUUCCCUUAUAAUUCAUAUAUUUGGAUGAGAUGGGGGAGGAUUGGUAGUAGUAACCUUUGUUCUUGAUUUUGGUAAUCAACACAUUAUUUUUUUUUCUUUCUUUUUUUUUUUUCUUUUUUGAGACAGAGUUUUGCUGCUGUCGCCUAGGCUGGAGUGCAAUGGCAGGAUGUGGGUUCACUGUAACCUCCGCCUCCUGGGUUCAAGUAAUUCUGCCUCAGCCUCCUGAGUAGCUGGGAUUACAAGCACCCGCCACCAUGCCUGGCUAAUUUUUGUAUUUUUAGUAGAGAUGGGGUUUCACCACGUUGGCCAGGCUAGUCACGAACUCCUGGCCUCAAGUGAUCCACCUGCCUCGGCCUCCCAAAGUAUUGGGAUUACAGGCGUAAGCCACCAUGCCCGGCCUUUUUUAUUAUUCAUCAUCUAAGUAUUUCUCAAUUUUGUUUAUCUUUUCAAAGAUUCAAACUUUGGAUCUUUAAAUUUCUUUAUUGUUUUUUGUUUUAUUUUCUAUUUGAUUGAUUUCUGCUCUAAUCUGUAUUAUUUCUUUGUUUUUCUUGCUUUGUGCUCAGUUUAGUCUUCCUUUUCUAAUUUCUAAGGUUGGGAGAAUGAAUUAUUAAUUUAAGAACUCUCUUUUUAAAAUAACCUUUAAAUUUUGAUAUAAUUGUAGAUUUACUUACAGUUAUAAGAAAUAAUAUAGAGAGAUUUCUUGUAACCUUAUCUCAGUUCUCCCAGUGGUAACAUCUUGCAAAAGUAUAGUACAAUAUCAUAACCAAUAUGUGGAGAUUGAUAUAGUCAACAUACAGAAUAUUUCCAUUACCAUGGAAUCCCUCAUGUUGUUCUUUCCUAGCCACAUCUAUUUUCCUCUUUUUCACCUCAUCUUUAACCCUUGAUAACCAUUAAUCUUUCCUCCAUUCUCAUAAUUUUGUCACUUCAGUAAUGUUCUACAAGGGAAAUUCUACAUCAUAUAAUCUUUUGUGGUCAGAUUUAUUUACUCAGCAUAAUUCUCUGAAAAUGUAUGGAAGUUGUUGUCUAUAUCAAUAACUUGCUUCUUUUUGUUGCUAAGUAGUGCUUCAUUGCAUGAAUGUAAUACAUUUUGUUUAAACUUAUUCACUCCUUCAAAAAUGUCUGGGUCGUUUCCAGUUUGGGGUUAUUAAAAAUAAAGCUGUUCUGAAUAUUUGUGUAAAGUUUUUGAAUUAACGUGGUUUUUAAAAAUUACUCUGCUGUAAAUGCCCAGGAGUGAAAUCACUGAGUCAUAAAGUCAUUGCCUGUUAAACUGUUUGUUUGCUUUUUAAAGAAAGUACCAAAUUGUUACAGAGAAUGGCUUUGUUAUUUUACAUUCCCAUCAACCAUGCAGCAGUUAUGUAGUUUCUUUGCAGCCUUGCUAGCACUCAAUGUUGUCAUUAUUUUUUAUUGUAACUAUUCCAUUGGGCAUAUAUUGAAAUCCCAUUGGGGUUCUAAUUUUUCAUUCCCUAAUGGCUAAUGAUGUUGACAUCUUUUCAUGCUCUGAUUUUCCAAACAUAUAUUCUUUUCAGUGAAAUGUAUAUUCAUGUCUUUUGCCCACUUUCUAAUUUGACUUUGUUCACUCUUAAGUUUUGAAAGUUCUUUAUAUAUUCUUGCUACUAGUCUUUUUCAGACACAUGGCAAGCAAAAGGGGAAGGAAGGAGCACCUUUUUACUGUCAAGUUGAGAUGAAGGUCAAGGUUCCCCAUUAGGCCUCCUUUGCCACACAAAAAGUAAAUACUCUGUGUUUUUAAGAUAAAGUAAUGGAUGCCAAGAAAGACUCAAAUUUUAUUUAUGUACUAAUCAUAAAAAUGAACUAUGAUUUAUAAUUCUUCUCUUCCAUUUUCAUUAUACAUAAGUUAAGAAAACAAAAUACAUCAUACUCAAUAAUAAGAAAUCUGAGUAGAAACUCACCAGUUCACCUUAGCUAUUUUCCCUUUUGGGUUUCUUUUCUUUUACUUUUUUUUCUCUCUCUCCUUUUUCUUUAAAAAUUUUGGAGUGUAAACAUAUACAUCAUCUUAAUUUGAGUCCUUAUGUGUUGACGGUGUGCAGGGAAGAAUGGGAAAGUAACUGUAAGUGGAGCUCAGAAAGAACUAACAAAUUCAUGAAAAAGUGACAUUAUUGCUGGUCUAUUUUUUUUUUAAUUUUCUGUUUCCUCACACUCUCCCAUACUAAAUGAAUUAUUUAGUGUUUUUGUUUUUGUUUUUUGUUUUUUGUUUUGUGAUACAGAGUUUUGCUAUUGUUGCCCAGGCUGGCACGAUCUUGGCUCACCGCAACCUCCGCCUCCCAAGUUCAAGUGAUUCUCCUACCUCAGCCUCCCGAGUAGCUGGGAUUACAGGCAUGCACCACUGCGCCUGGCUAAUUUUUUGUGUUUUUAGUAGAGACGGGGUUUCUCCAUAUAUACGGGGUUUCUCCAGAUAUACAGUUGUCAAAUUAUUGAAAGCUAAAGACAAACAGACAAUUUUGCAAGUAGCUAGGGAAAAUCGAUUUAUUAUGUACAAGGGAUUCUCAAUAAGAUUAAGAGCUAUUUUCUCAUUAUAAAUGAUGGUAGUGAGAAGAUAGUGGACAAAUAUGUUUUAGUCCUGAAAGAAAGACCAAAAACAGUAACAACUGCUUACUGAGAAUUCUUUAUCUAGCAAAACAUUCUAUGAUAAAUGAGUAAAGAAUUAAGACAUUUACAGAGAAACAAAAGAUGACGGAGUUUAUAACCUACAGACGUGUCCUAUGAAAAAUGCUAAAGAGAUUCUUUCAGGUUGAAAUGAAAAGACACUAGACAAUAACCUAAAGAUGAAUGAAGAAAUAAAGGUUUCCUGGAAAAAGUAAGUCCAUGGGCAAUUAUAAAACUUAGCAUUAUUUUAUUUUUAGUUUAUAACUCCAUUUUUAUUUUCUAUACAUGUUGAAAAAAUUUAUAAAAAUAAUUAUAAAUUUAUGUUAUUCAGCACAGAAUGUAUAUGAAUGUAAUUUGUGAAACAACAUGAAAUGGGUAAGGGGACUGCACAGAUAUGGAGUGUUUCAUGCUAUUGAAAUUAUGUUGGCAUUAAUUAAAACAUAGAGGAUUAUAAAUUUAAGAUAUUAAACAGAAUCCUUAUGGCAGUUAGAGACAAUAUUUUUAAAAUGCACACAUAAGAAAAUGACAGAGGUUUUUAAAACAUUUUACUAUAAAAAUCAACUAAUCACAAAAAAACUAUUAAGGGAAGAAAUGAACAAAAAAUUGUAAGCCAUAUAGAAAACAAAAAGCAAAAUGGCAGUAGUAAUUCUCAUCAAUAAUUUCUAUAAAAGUAAAUGAAGUAAACUUUCCAAUUGAGAGGCAAAAGUCAGUGUAAUGGAUUUUAAAAAUCACACAACUACAUUUUUUUUAUAAGAGACUCAAUUUAGUUGCAAGCCACAAAUAAAUUGAAAGUGAAAAACAGAAAAAUAUAUUCCAUACAAAUGGUAACCAAAAGAGAGGUGGUGUGGCUCUACUAGUAUGACAUGAAUUGACUUUAAUUUAACCACUGUUACAAUUGGAACAAGGGCAUUAAACACUAAUAAAAGGAUCAAUUUAUCAAGAAGAUAUAACAAUUAUAAAUAUGCACACACUAAACAACAGGGCCCCCCAAAAUAUACGAAGCAAAUAUUGGCAAAAUUUAGGGAGAGAAUACGUAGUUCUGCAAUAAUAGUUGGAGACAUCAAUGGGCCACUUCAAAUUCUUGAUAGAAAAUCUGCAACAAGGAAAUAGAGGAAUUAAAGUAUAGUGUUUAUAUAAAUCAACUAUACCUAAUAGACAUACACAGGACAUUCCACCCAACAACAGCAGAAUACAUGUUCUCUCUGAUAGCCCAUGUGUUAGGCAACAAAGAAUUCUUCAAUAAAUUUUAAAAACAUUAAACUUAUACAAAGCAUCUUCUCGGAACACAAUGGAGUGGAACUUUAAAUCAACAACAGGAGAAAAACUGGAAAAUAUACAAAUAUAUGGCAAUUAAACCAUGAGUGCCUUUUCAAGCAAUGGAUCAAAGAAGAGAAAUUACAAAUAUCUGAAGAUAUGCAAUAACAACACAACAUACUAAACUUAUGAUAUGAAGCAAAAUCAGUGCUCAGAUGAAAAUUUAUAGUUGCAAUAGCCUACAUUAAAAAAUGUACAAAAGAUCUCAAAUCAAUAACAUAACUUCAGACUUUUAUGAACCAGAAAAUAAGAGCAAAUUAAACACAAGUAGAAGAGAGGAAAUAAUAAUAAUUAAAAUGGAAGUAAAUAAAAUACAGGGCAGGAAUUAUAGAGAAAGAAAUAAUAAAACCAAAAGCUGAUUCUAUUAAAAAAUCGGCAAAAUUGACAAAUUACUCUAUACUGAUAAAGAAGAAAAGAGAUAAUAAAUAAUUGAAAUCAGAAAUAAAACUGGGGCUAUUACUACUGAUCUUAUAGAAAUAAAAAUGAUUAUGAGAAUAAUAUGACCAAAUUAAGCCAUAAACUAGAUAACCUAGAUGAAAUUGUUGAAUUUUCUAGAAACACACAAAUUACCUAAGCUCACUCAAGAAGAAAUAAAAUAUAUAUGUCAACAGAGCAAUAAUAGGUAAAGAAAUACAAGUUGUAGUAAAAAAAAAAAAAAAAAAAAAACCACCCAAUCAAGAAAAUUAUAAUACCUACCACAUGGUUUUUUAUUUUUAUUUUUUUUUUGAGACGGAGUCUCGCUCUGUCGCCCAGGCUGAAGUGCAGUGGCGCAAUUUCGGCUCACUGCAAGCUCCGCCUCCCGGGUUCAAGCCAUUCUCCUGCCUCAGCCUCCCCAGUAGCUGGGACUACAGACGCCCGCCACGUCGCCCGGCUAAUUUUUUUUAUUUUUAGUACAGACGGGGUUUCACCGUGUUAGCCAGGAUGGUCUCGAUUUCCUGACCUCGUGAUCCGCCCGCCUUGGCCUCCCAACGUGCUGGGAUUACAGGCGUGAGCUACCGCGAAUACCAGAUGGUUUUAAUAGUAACUUAUAGGAUACAUUUAGAGACGAACUGGCAAAAAUUGCAUGGCAAACUUUCCCAAAAACAGAAAUGGAGAUAUUACUGAUUAAUUCAUUCUAUGAGGCAAGCAUUUCUCCUAGUGUAAGUACAGAUGAAGAGACCACAAGUAAAGACAAUUACAGGUGAAUAUUCUUUACACAUAUAAAUGCAAAACUCUUUACCAAAUACUAGGAAACCAAAUUCCUAAACAGGAUUAUGCCCUAUGACCAAGAAGAAUUUAUCUUAUAAAUGUAAGGGUAGUUCAAUGUAAGAAAACCAAUCAAUGUAAAGCAGCACAUUGAAAUUACCGAUGUAAUACAGCAAAGAAGAAGAAGAAGAAAAAAAGGAGAUCAAUUCAUUGACACAGAAAUAGCAUUUGACAAAAUUCAACACACCUUCAUGGUAAAAGUCACUGAGCAUAAAGAAGGGAAUUUCCUUAACCUAAUAAAGGACAUUUUAAAAAUACCCGCAGCUAACAACAUAUUCAAUGGCAAAAGACUGAACACUUUUCUUUAACAUCAGGAACAAGACAAGGAUGUCUGCUUUAAUCACUAGUGAACAUUGCAACUUCUAGCAGAGCAAUUAGCAAGAAAGACAAAUAAGAGGCAUCCAAACUGGAAAGGAAUAAAUUAUUUCUCUUUUCAGAUUACAUAAUUCUACAUAUAAAAAAAUCUGAAAAAAAAUCCAUCAGAAAGCUAGUAGAGCUAAUAAAAAAUUCAGCAAAACUGCAUAUUACAAGGUCAACACACAAGAUUCAUUCAUGUCUCUAUAUGCUAGAAAUAAAUAAUCCAAAAACAAAAUUAGGAAACAAAUUCCAUUUAUGAUAGUAUCUAAAAGAACAAAACACCUAAGAAUAAAUUUAAUGAAAAAUGUGAACACUUGUACACUGAAAAGAGCAAAGCAUCACCAAAAGAAAUUAAAGAAGUCCUAAACAAAUUGAAAGCAACCCUAUGUUGAUGGAUUUGAAGACAAAUUAAUAGUGCUAAAAUAGCAGAACUACCAAAGCUGUCUAAAGAUUCAAUACAAUAUUUAGUAAAAUUCCAAUAGUCAUUUUACUGAAACAGAAAUACCAAUUCUCAAAUUCCAGAAUUGUACAUGGAAAUCCUAAAAAACAAAGAUAAAGUUGGAGGACUCAAACUCUACCAUUUCAAAACUUAUCAAAAACCUACAGUAAUUAAAACAGCAUGGAAAUGGCAUAGGAUAGGUGUAUAGAUAAAUGGAAUAGAAUUGAAUCCAGACAUAAACCAUAUAUUUAUGGAAAAUUUAUUUUUAACAAGCCUGCCAAGUCAAGAAAAAUAUUCAACAAAUGAUGUUAGGACAACUGAAUUUCCAAAGACAAAUUAAGGUUAGGCUUCAUCCCAUAUACAAAAAUUAACUCACACCAUAUGUAAAAAAUUUACUCAUACUAUAUACAAAAAUAUAUUCAAAAUGAAUCGAUGACUCAAAUAUGAGAGCCAAAACCGUGAUACUCUUAGGGAUAAAUAUGAACUGGGAUUUGGCAAUGGAUUUUUAAAUAUGACACCAAAAAUACCACAGCAACAAAAAACUAGAUAAGUUGAACUUUAUCAAAAUUAAAAACAUCGGUUCAUUAAAGGACAUUAUGAAGAAAGUGAGAGAUAGCUUACAGAAUGGAAAAAAUUUGCAAAUCAUAUAUCUCAUAAGGAUUUAAUAUCCAAAAUAUAUAAAGAAUCUUUAAAACUCAAUAACAGAAGACAAAGAAGCUAUUUUUUAAAUUUCCAUAGUUUAUUGGGGAACAGGUGGUGUUUGGUUACAUGAGUAAGUUCUUUAGUGGUGAUUUGUGAGAUUUGGUGCACUCAUCCUUGAUCAUUAGUGAUGUUGAGCAUUUUUUCAUAUGUUUGUUGGCCAUUUGUAUAUCUUCUUUUGAGAAUUGUCUAUUCAUGUCCUUAGUCCACUUUUUGAUGGGAUUGUUUGUUUUUUCCUUGUUGAUUUGUUUGAGUUCAUUGUAGAUUCUGGAUAUUAGUCCUUUCUCAGAUGUAUAGAGUGUGAAUAUUUUUUCCCACUCUUCAGGUGUCUAUUUACUCUGCUGACUGUUCCUUUUGCAGUGCAAAAGCUCUGGUAUAAAAAUAGGCACAUAAACCAAUGGAACAGAAUAGAAAACCCAGAAAUAAAUCCAAAUACUUAGAGCCAAUUGAUCUUCAACAAAGUAAACAAAAACAUAAAGUGGGGAAAGGACACCCUUUUCAACAAAUGAUGCUGGGAUAAUUGGCUAGCCACAUGUAGGAGAAUGAAACUGGAUGCUCAUCUCUCACCUUAUACAAAAAUCAGCUCAAGAUGGAUUAAAGAUUUAAAUCUAAGACCUGAGACCAUAAAAAUUCUAGACGAUAACAUUGGAAAAACCCUUCUAGACAUUGGCUUAAGCAAGGAUUUCAUGACCAAGAACCUAAAAGCAAAUGCAAUAUAAAGAUAAAUUAUUAAGAAUUAAUUAAACUAAAGAACCUAUUUUAAAAAUGGGCAAAGAACUGGUAUAUACAUUUUCAAAGAAAAUGUACAAAUAGCCAACAAGUACAUAAAAAGAGAGUUAACAUCAUUAGUCAUUCAGGAAAUAAAAAUCAAAAUCACAGUGAGAUAUUAUUACACUACUUCGCAACGAUAUUUUUUUUGAGACAGAGUCUCACUCUGUCAACCAGGUUGGAGUGCAGUGGCACAGUCUCACCUCACUGCAGCCUCCUCCUCCCAGGUUCAAGCAAUUCUCCUGCCUCAGCCUCCGGACUAGCUGGGGCUACAGGCACAUACCACAACGCCCGGCUAAUUUUUUUUUUUUUUUUUUUUUUUUUUUCAGAUUUUUAGUAGAGACAGGGUUUCAUUGUGUUGGCCAGGCUGGUCUCGAACUUCUGACCUCAGGUGAUCAGCCCACCUCAGCCUUCCAAAGUACUGCUAUUACAGGUAUGAGCCAGCACUCAUGGCCUUCUUCGCAACUAUUAGGAUGACUGUAAUAAAAAAUAAAUACAUAAAUACAUUAAAAUAUAUAUAUAUAUAGAGAGAGAGAGAGAGAGAGUAGGGGGAGGAAAAAGGGUUAGCCAAGAUGUGGAUAAAGUUAAAGACACUUACAUUGGUGGUGGAAAUAUCAAAUUGUGCACUUACUGUGGAAAUCAAUUUGGAGGUUAAUCAAAAAGCUAAACAUAGAAUAAUUCCACUUCUAGGUAUAUACCCGAAAUAAUUUAAGCGUGACUCAAACAGAUACUUGUACACCAGUGUUUUUUUUUUGCAGCAUUUUUUACAAUAGUCAAAAGGUAGAAAAACCCUAACAGAUGAAUCUUUAAUCAAUGAAUAGAUGAACAAAAUGUUGUACAUAAAUACAAAGGAUUAUUAUUCAGCCAUAAAAAAGAAUGAUGUUUUGAUACACACUACAGCAUAAUGAACCUUAAAAACAUUUUCUAAGUGAAAUAAGCCAGACUCAAAAGGACAAAUAUUGUAUGAUUCCAAACAUAUGAAAUAUCUAGAAUGGGAAAAUUCAUAGAGAUAGAAAACAUGUUAGUGAUUACUAGGAUGUGAGGGGAGAGUUAAAAGGUGUUACCGUUUUAUGAGUAUAGUUUUUGUUUGGAGUGAUGAGCUAAUUUUAGAAAUAGAUAGUUCUGAUGUUUAUACAUUUUGCAUGUAAUUACUACCAUAGAAUUAUACACUUAAAAUUUUUUAAUGAUGUAUGUAUAUCAUAUUAAAAUUUUAAAAAGCAAACAAA